GGCUAUUGUAGUGGAAAUAAAGACGUCAAGCUGCAAUCUUGAAGAUGUAAUUGAGUUAUUACCUUAGCCU
rnacentral:tRNA from 1 species